AGAGGCAGGUAGAUCUCUGUGAGUUCGAGGCCAGCCUGGUCUACAUAGGGAGUCCCAGGUCAGCCGAGGCUACAGGGAGACCCUGUCUCAAAAAG
rnacentral:miRNA from 1 species